AUAUGCAAAAUAGAAAAAAGUACCGUAGGUUAAACAAAUAUUUCCAGGAUAUUUACACCCCUAUUUAAGGAAUGGGAUUUUGGCAGCCAACAGCCAACAUAGACAAUGAAUCCCCAACGGACGUUAGUGCUCAAUGCUUUUGUUGAGAACUCCUAGGAACUGACCAGGAAUUACUGGGAUCUCGGGAGUGUAGGAAUUCAUAGCAAGUGGGCAAGGCUGAGAGCCGUUGGAAUGGAAUGAGGCUGGUGUGCAGCGCAGGUGCUUCUCAUUGUCACUCAAUCAGGAGCGGAGCAGGAGACAAGAAGUGUCGCCAGCCGGAAGAACCAUCUCUGGACACCAGAAGACGGACAGGUAGAUGGAUUCCUUCACAGGUCUCCCAGCUUGGCGUCGGAUCUCUCAGCUGGGUCUCACAGCUGUGAGAAACUCAUGGUGACUGGGUGGGACAGAGAGCUAUAGGAACAAAAUAAGGCCAGUGCUUGAGUGACAAUGAGAAGCACGGGGGAGUCACUGCUGUCUGUCAGGAUGCCGAAGCCUGCAGCUGUCCACCAAAGCAGGAGCGUAGCAGGAGACAAGAAAUGCCGCCAGCCGGAAGAACCAGAUGGGUGGAUAGAUUCCUUCACAGGUCUCCCAUCACAUCAUUAGAUCUCUCAACUGGUUGAGGACAGAGUGGCAAUGUGUUUGGAGUACCAAACCUAAUUUUUCCCUCUCUCUGUUGCUUCUGUCUCUUCUCUUUUUUUCCAUCACCUUUCCUCUGGCCCCUUUUCCCAGGUCUCACAAGUGUGGGAACUAAUAGUGAGUAAGCAAGGCAAAGAGCUGCAGAAACGAAACGAAGGUCAGGCCUUGAGUGACAAUGAAAAGCAUCUGCACACCGGUCUCGAGUCCUACGGGGGAGCUCUGCACUAUAAAAGAAGGAGAGACAGCAGAGGAAGACAAGAGAGGACCAGACCUGGACACUUCAUGUUUUACUUUUGCUUUCAGUUUGAUGGCAGACUUUGUAAAAAGCUGCAAUUUGUUUGUUUUAUUUUUUUUAAUUAAUAGAUUAUUUAAAAGUUUAUUAGUUCUCCACUUCCUUCUUGCCAUUGGCCAGAUGGCCAUCUAACUGUGUUACAGUGGUGCUGAAACCUGGAAGAAGGAGGGACAUGUUGUCCAGAUGCCCUUGCUGCUGAGAGGGAGGGAAUUAACCCUAAGUGGAGGAGAAAGCUGUUCUUCUACCCCAGAGUGUGGCCAGAGGCUGGCAAGGAAAAAGUCUGCCUGCUGCUGGCUCCGAGCAUGGGGGGGGGGGGGUGUGGUUCCCACCAAAGAACUGUAAGGAGCCAUCCCAGAAAGGCCGGGGAAUCACCGCUGUCUGCUUGGAUGCUAAAGCCUGCUUCCAUCAAACAGAAUGGGAACAGAGCAGGAGACAAGAUGUGUCAUUAGCCGAAAGAUCCGUCGCUGGACACUAGAAGACGGAUGGGUGGAUGGAUUCCUUCACAGGGCUCCCAGCACGUCGUCGGAUCUCUCAGCUGUUUGAGGGCCGAGUGGCAAUGUGCCUGGAGAACCGAACUCCAAUUUUUUUUCUUGUCCUCUCUCUUCUCUCUAUGUUGUUUCUGUCUAUCCUCUUUUUUCCAUCUCCUUUCCUCUUGGCCUGUUUUCCAGGUCUCGCGGGUGUGGGAACUCGUGAUGAAUGGGCGGGGCCAAGAGCCAUGGGAAUGAAAUAAGGCUGGUGUGCGACACAGGUGCUUCUCAUUGCCUCAAGAAGUGUCGACAGCCAGAACAACCAUCGCCGGACACCAGAAGAUUGAUAGGUAGAUAGAUUGCUUCACAGGGCUCCCUGCUGGACAUUAGAUCUCUCAGCUGGUUGAGGACCAAGUGGCAACAUGUCUGGAGAACACCUCUAUCUGUCUUGUCUCUCCUCUUUUUUUUACCCCUCCCUUUCUCUCGCCCUAUUAACAGGUAUCGCAGGUGUGGGAACACGUGGUGAGUGGGCGGGGCAGAGAUUCAUGGGAACGAAAUGAGGCCAGUGCUUGUGUGACAAUGAGAAGCACCUGCACAGCACACCGGUCUUAAGUCUCACGGAGAAGCUCUGGACUAUAAAAGUAGGAGGAGAGACAGCCGUGGAAGACCAGGAAGGCCUGGACACUUUAUGUUUUACUUUUGCUUAAUUUAUUUGAUUUAUUGAUUUAUUUUUUUCAUAAAUAAAUUAUUUAAAAGUUUGUUGGUUCCUGAUGGCCAGAAGGCCAUCUAACUUUGUCACAGUGACUAAUUCACAUGCAUUCAUACAAUUUUAGUCAUAUAAAAUGUAAAAUUUUUAAAAGGAGCCAUGCACCCAAACCCCAGCCAUAGACCCAACCAUCACUAGAUUAGCCACUAAUCAAAAAGUUACGAAUUGGCAUGAGAUGGCAUUGGCCAUAUCACAGUGCUACUUC